rnacentral:lncRNA from 1 species
UAAUUGUUAACUUGUUAUAUUUGUUGAGAUCAUUAAACUUGAGUCUGAAUAAAACAUAGCAAUCCUUGCAUCUGCAUAUUAUUCAGCAAACACAGAUUGUAAUUGUAUAAACAUAUCAAGGUAGCAUUACAACCAGUAUCACCAUUUUAUUCGACAAAGCAUGGCACAGCAUCCAGCAAACAUACAUAUUUGAAAAGAUGUCACCGGAACCAGUACAGGCACAGCACCAGCAACAAACAUUGUACACUGAACUCUGCAUCGAUGGAGAAAAAAAGGUGGAACCACAAGAUAGAACCUUCACAAACCUCCUCACUUCUCACUGUCAACCACACCGAGCUCUGCAUCGAUGGCAUUGUGUGCGGUCUCGAGGUCUUCAUCAAGGAAAAUGUCCCAGUGCCCAUCCCAGCGGAUGAAGAACUCUGUGUCCUCCAAGUACUUGACACGGUGCACGUCCCCAGCAGGCGUGAACAGGAAGUCCCCAUCGACCAGGCCAUAGCUCUCCUUCUUGGUCAAGUUCCACACCUUCUUCUUGCCCUUGAUCACCACCAGGUCGUGGCCGAAGGUGUGGUGGUGGGCCGGCUCCACGCUUCCAGCUUUGAACCGCACGUAGGCCGAAGUCGGGCUCUCGCGCACAAUCCGCAUCUCGCCGCCGGGCAUGAUGUCCACCGGCUCGAACUCCAUCCCCUUCCUCAGGUAGCAGAUGGCGCAGGCGGAGUCCGGCGCAGGAGGGGCUGCCGGUCCCUCGGGGAUGGAGGCCAUCUCACCGGGGGCAGCAUCGAAGAACUUCUGAAUGUCCUCCGGCCAAGGGGCGUCGCCGGACGCGGGGCAGGGGGCGCGGAAGGGGGUGGCGAGCCAGGCGUCGGCGAUGGCGGCGGCGGCCUCGGGCGGGGUGGCCAUGCCGGAGAGGGCGAGGACGUUGCAGGCGUUGAUGGAGCGGGUGUUGACGGCGUCGGCGGCGGAGCCGCAGUGCGUGGCGUACACGCCGGGGUACUUGUUGGCGAAGAUGGCGACACCGGCGCCGGUGCCGCAGACGACGACGCCGCGGGCCUCGAGCGCUGGGUCAGGGGCCGAGGAGGAGACGCCGCGAGCGACGGCCGCGGCGGCGGAGUAGUACUUGUCGACGCCGAGGUCGACGACGUCGGCGACGGAGGAGUGGGCGCGGAGGUGCGCGACGACGGCGUCCUUGAGCGGCUCGCCGAAGCCGUCGGCGGCCGCGAAGAUCUUGAAGCGGCGGCUGCCGGCGGAGGCGGAGGCGGCCAUCGGCGAUAGCGGUGUUCGAUCUGAGAUUUGGAUGCGGAGCAGAAGACUACAGUGGCGAGCGGCGACAGCGAGCAAAGGCAGCCGGGCCGAACUAAGCAAGACGACGACCGCAAGUGGACUUUUUCUUUCUUGAUGAUGAUAACUCGAUCGGCCCAUCAGUCUGUGUGUAUCACACUGUUUGGUAGAGAUAAGAACAUUUUUUUCCUUAUAAAGUUUUUUUAAGACAAUUUUGCUCAUGAAGGUAGGGAUGCAAAUAAGGAAGGCCAGUACUGGCCCCGGCGCGCCGGUCGAAAGUUUUGGCUGGUCAAGCCCUAGUCGUUCGAUUUACUCAAUAAUAACCGUCCAGAUUGCAUCUUCUCCCUUGCAUGCGGGUCAAAGCCUCCUCCUUCCUCACGUACGGGUUGCGCUUGACACAAACACAUCCUCCACCAUGGCGCCUCCUUCUCUUCCCUGGCCUUCGCGAAAAAAAACUCCCGCCUCCCAUCGUUGCUUGGCUCAGCCACGCCAUGUGUGGCUCUGGCGAGCAGCAGGGCCGGCCGCUCGGAGUGCAGCGCCAUGCCGGACCCCAAGGUCGCCGCUCACCNNNNNNNNNNNNNNNNNNNNNNNNNNNNNNNNNNNNNNNNNNNNNNNNNNNNNNNNNNNNNNNNNNNNNNNNNNNNNNNNNNNNNNNNNNNNNNNNNNNNNNNNNNNNNNNNNNNNNNNNNNNNNNNNNNNNNNNNNNNNNNNNNNNNNNNNNNNNNNNNNNNNNNNNNNNNNNNNNNNNNNNNNNNNNNNNNNNNNNNNNNNNNCAAAUGCAGCAGUUCUCGUCAUCGUCGGCGCAACACCAUGCCACACACUAGGCCGAUCCUCGUCUUCUGCCGCCAGAUGUAGCAGACGAAUCUCAGCAAAAAAGAAAAAAAAUGUAUGUAGCAAAAAAACUCAUAGGUUGUAGCAAAAAGCAACGACGGGUGUAGCAAAAAAAUCACCGUCGCCGUUGUCGAGCCUCCAACUCCACCAUGAAAAAAAGGAUGUAUCAAGAAAUCCUCGACGGACGUAGCAAAAACUACAACGGUUGUAGAAAAAAAGGUUGUCGCCGUCGCAGAAUGCAGCUCGGCCGUGAAUGAAUGUAGCAAAAAACUAAUACGGCAAAACGAAUCACCGUGGCAGGAAAAAUAUAUGCCAGUUACAACAAAAGAACAUGCGUCGCCGCGGAUAGUUGCAACAAAAAACUUCGCCGGAUCCAAUAAAUCUAGUAGCCGGUUCCAGCAAAUCAGCUCGCGGUUCCAACAAAAAAUACCUCCACCACCAUGGAUGCAGCGUCUUGAAUCCUCCAUUGUAGCAAAUCGAGUAGCCAGUUCCAGCAAUUUACUUCACCGGUUCCAGCGCGAGCGUGGCCGGAUUCCAGCACGGCAGCCAUAGAGCUUCCAGCGUGGCGCAUCGAUGGUUUCUAGCACAGCGACGGCUCCAGCACGGGUGAGGGAGUCCUGGAUUAGGGGGUGUCCGGAUGACUGGACUAUACCUUCAGCCGGACUCCAGGACUAUGAAGAUACAAGAUUGAAGACUUCGUCCCGUGUCCGGAAGGGACUUUCCUUGGCAUGGAAGGCAAGCUUGGCGAUACGGAUAUUCAGAUCUCCUACCAUUGUAACCGACUCUAUGUAACCCUAACCCUAUCCGGUUUCUAUAUAAACCGGAGGGUUUUAGUCCGUAGGAUAACAUACACAUCAACAAUCAUACCAUAGGCUACCUUUUAGGAUUUAGCCUCUCUGAUCUCGUGGUAGAUCUACUCUUGUACUACCCAUAUCAUCAAUAUUAAUCAAGCAGGACGUAGGGUUUUACCUCCAUCGAGAGGGCCCGAACCUGGGUAAAAACUUCGUGUCCCCUGCCUCCUGUUACCAUCCGGCCUAGACUCACAGUUCGGGACCCCCUACCCGAGAUCCGCCGGUUUUGACACCAACAUUGGUGCUUUCAUUGAGAGUUCCUUUGUGCCGGCGGAGGCGGAGGCGGAGGCGGCCAUUGGCGAUAGCGGUGUUCGAUCUGAGAUUUGGGAGCUCGAGAUUUGGAUGCGGAGCAGAAGAUUACAGUGGCGAGCAGCGACAGCGAGCAAAGGCAGCCGGGCCGAACUAAGCAAGACGACGACCGCAAGUGGACCUUUUCUUUGUUGAUGAGAUGGACACGAAUGAGAACUCGAACGGCCCAUCAGUCCCUGUGUAUCACACUGUUUGGUAGAGAUACGAACAUAAAGUUUUUUUAAGACAAUUUUGCUUAUAAAGGUAGGGAUGCAAAUUUGAAACCACGCCAGGUUUCAUGUUUCUCAGAAUUCAUUUGCAUUUUUUAGAAUUAAAGAAGCAAUAAGCUUCAUGUCAGAUCUUGACACCUGAAUGUUUGGAAUUUCUCCUUUCUUGUCUUGGAUAAGACCUCAGGAUAGACUAAAGAACACAAAUACGAUUUUAAACUCAUUUUGCCAACUUUUUCAGGCACAUAUUGUUCAAAUUUGCAUUAUAUUCAUUAAAUGGAUAUAAAAUUCUUUUAGUGACUUAAAAAUAGCAAACAAGCCACAAAGAUACCGAAUUUGGAGUGACAACAAACAGAUUCGCUCUGCAACAUGCAGUGGCAGAGAUAGAGGGACCAGCAGUAGCAGGGCCNNNNNNNNNNNNNNNNNNNNNNNNNNNNNNNNNNNNNNNNNNNNNNNNNNNNNNNNNNNNNNNNNNNNNNNNNNNNNNNNNNNNNNNNNNNNNNNNNNNNNNNNNNNNNNNNNNNNNNNNNNNNNNNNNNNNNNNNNNNNNNNNNNNNNNNNNNNNNNNNNNNNNNNNNNNNNNNNNNNNNNNNNNNNNNNNNNNNNNNNNNNNNNNNNNNNNNNNNNNNNNNNNNNNNNNNNNNNNNNNNNNNNNNNNNNNNNNNNNNNNNNNNNNNNNNNNAGAUGAACAGUGCAGAAUUUAGAAAAAAAUACAUGCAUUAAUGUAGUUUGGCCCCGUGUCAUUUGUACCCCCUAACUACCUUUAAUUUCCGGCUCCACCAUUGGCAACAUGGGAGAUCGGUGGUCGUCUAUGGUGGGUAGGUGUCCUACCCAUGCGAAAGAACAACUAUGUUCUAUGGUGGAGUACUGGCUGGGGUGACUAUCAAAAGAUAUAUUUUCAAGAUGAUUUUUGAAACAUCGCUUUGUUGGGGAACAUAGUAAUUUCAAAAAAAUUCCUACGCACACGCAAGAUCAUGAUGAUGUAUAGCAACGAGAGGGGAGAGUGUUGUCUACGUACCCUCGUAGACCGUUCGCGGAAGCGUUAUAUCAACGCGGUUGAUGUAGUCGUACGUCUUCACGUCCGACCGAUCCAAGUACCGAAAGCACGACAUCUCCGAGUUCUGCACACGUUCGGCUCGGUGACGUCCUCGCCUUCUCGAUCCAGCAAGAGGGGUGAAGUAGUAGAUGAGUUCUGGCAGCACGACGGCGUGGUGACGGUGUUGGUGAAGAACAAUCUCCGUAGGACUUCGCCUAAGCACUACGAAAACUAUGAUGGAGGAUAAACUAGAGGGGACGGGGCUACCGGCACACGGCUUGGUGUUUCUUGAUGUGUCUUGGGUGCUAGCCCUACCCCUCUAUUUAUACGUUGAGCCUUGGGGUCGAAACUUGGAGUAAAAGCCUCCACAAAGUCGGUUUCACCCGAAAGGCAAGAGUCCUUCUCGGACUCCAGGGCCAGACGCCAGUGUUCCUGUCGUCUGGACCCAGACGCCAGGGACCCUGGCGUCUGGCCCCUGGACUCCGCAAAACUUCCUUUUGCGCUUUCCAAAAACCUUGUGGGCUUUCCCCUUUGGCCCAAAUAAAGUGUUCUCGUACCCAAAUAUUUCGGGAAACAUCCGGAACCCCUUCCUGUGAUUUCCGGAACCCUUCCGGUGACCAAACACUAUUAUCCCAUAUAUCAAACUUUAUCUUCGGACCAUUCCGGAGUUCCUCGUCAUGUCCGUGAUCUCAUCCCGGACUCCGAACAACAUUCGGUCAUCAACAUACAUAACUCAUAUAGUACUAUAUCGUCAACGAACGUUAAGCGUGCGGACACGGGUUCGAGAACUAUGUAGACAUGACCGAGACACCUCUCUGGUCAAUAAUCAAUAGCGGGACCUGGAUGCCCAUAUUGGCUCCUACAUAUUCUACGAAGAUCUUUAUCGGUCAGACCGCAUAACAACAUACGUUGUUCCCUUUGUCAUCGGUAUGUUACUUGCCCGAGAUUCGAUCGUCGGUAUCUCAAUACCUAGUUCAAUCUCGUUACCGGCAAGUCUCUUUACUCGUUCCGUAAUACAUCAUCCCGCAACUAACUCAUUAGUUGCAAUGCUUGCAAGGCUUAUAGUGAUGUGCAUUACCGAGUGGGCCCAGAGAUACCUCUCCGACAAUCGGAGUGACAAAUCCUAAUCUCGAAAUACGCCAACCCAACAAGUACCUUUGGAGACACCUGUAGAGCACCUUUAUAAUCAUCCAGUUACGUUGUGACGUUUGGUGGCACACAAAGUGUUCCUCUGGUAAACGGGAGUUGCAUAAUCUCGUAGUCAUAGAAACAUAUAUAAGUCAUGAAGAAAGCAAUAGCAACAAACUAAACGAUAAAGUGCUAAGCUAACAGAAUGGGUCAAGUCAAUCACAUCAUUCUCCUAAUGAUGUGAUCUCGUUAAUCAAAUGACAACUCAUGUCUAUGGUUACGAAACUUAACCAUCUUUGAUCAACGAGCUAGUCAAGUAAAGGCAUACUAGUGACACUCUGUUUGUCUAUGUAUUCACACAUGUAUUAUGUUUCCGGUUAAUACAAUUCUAGCAUGAAUAAUAAACAUUUAUCAUGAAAUAAGAAAAUAAAUAAUAACUUUAUUAUUGUCUCUAGGGCAUAUUUCCUUCACGCUUCAUGUCCAAAUGAAAACUUGUUCUGACCUUUAUUGGUCGUGUUGAACAACGAAGAACUUGUGUCGUUACCUUGUUAAAGGGGUUGUCUCGUUGUUUGAUGCAUUGGCCUUAAGUGAUUGAUUUCAGCAAUUAAGAUGAAAAUCCUCAUCCUACUGCUCACUGGACAAUGACAACACAAGGACAUGUGUACCUCUUCUUGAAGGAGCUGUUGCGGAAGAAAUCGACUUAGUGUUUUAUUCGUUUUUUCUUCUUGAAUUGGUACUGCCGAUGUUAUAUAGUCUCAGUCAGUGCUAUAUUGGUGAGAUCUUUUUUUCGAUAAAGGAUGCUUUUAUUAACUCAAAAUGUAGCAUCGAGCGGAUACAAAACAUAAAGAGCGACACCCGGCUUCUGCAUAGCUAAGAUGCACACAACCAUCAAACAAACAAUCUGACAAAAAAAUAUAAAAACGACAAAGUGGCAACAGUAAAGCCAUAUGGGGCCGAAACUAUGCCUAUGUCGACGGAGAAGGUGGAUCGAUUCGGAGAUUAUGCUGCCACCCAUGUUGGGUAAAAACCUCCCUGGCCACCCGCUCCAACCGCAUACACACCGCCUUGAACAGCAAUUGGUACUCCGUUCGGUGCAGAGUAGACCACAUACGAAGCCAGUGCGUACAACGGUAAAUAUCCUGCACAGGAGAAGAGAUUUUGUCAUUAAAAACACAAUCAUUUCUACAUAGCCAAAGCGACCAUAGUAAGGCAGACGCUCCCACCCGUAUUAGCGUACUAAAAGUAUUUGGUAUUCCAUCAAGCCAGUGACCAUAUAUAUUGGUAACACUUGUUGGUGGAUACAAAUUUGACGCUAUUUGGAUAACUGACCAUGUAGAACGCGCAAACUUGCAUUAAAAGAAGAGAUGUUUGAUUGUCUCAUCAUGAGUACAAAAACUACAUUUCUUGCUUCCUUUCCAGUUGCGUCGAGCGAGGUUGUCUUUAGUUAGCACAACUCCUCUCCGAAGAUACCACAUGAAAAUCUUAACUUUUAGUGGCAUCUUCGAUUUCCAGAUUUGUUUAUUAUUGGCCACUGGAAUCUCUAUGUGCGAUAGUGCACGAUACAUAGAGUCAACUGUGAAGGACCCAGAUGUAGUAAGAUUCUAGCGAAAGACAUCCCGACCUUGUGUCAAGUUAAUCGAAUCCAAACGGGAUAGAAGAUGUUGCCAUGACACAAGACGGGUCCCAACCAAAUCCCUCCGAAAUGAUAUAUCUGGCGGAGAAGUGGUCAUCACGUGCGCAAGAGUAUCGUUCUUAUCGCGUACAAUGCGGUACAAGUCUGGGUACUGUUCUCGGAGAGUGAUAUUUCCUAGCCACUUGUCCUCCCAGAAGCGUAUCUCCGAGCCGUCCUUUAUCGCGAAGGAUCCGAAACGGAAAAGAUGUUUCUUUACCGCCAUCAGACCAGCCCAAAAAUGUGAGUCACCGGGCUUCCAAUAAGCCUGGGAUAACGCCUUUUGGCCUAAAUACUUGUUGCAUAGCAUAGUUUGCCAAACACCAUCCUCAGUAAGAAGUUUGAACAACCAUUUACUGAGUAAGGCAUCAUUCUUGACCUGGAGGUCCUGAACACCUAAGCCUCCUUGGUCUUUCGGUCGGCAAAUGAUGCUCCAUUUGGUUUGUCUAUACCUUUUCUUUUCACAGUCUCUUUGCCAAAAAAAAAUCAGGAUCUGAAGUAAUCCAGUCUUUGCAGAACCCCUUUGGGUAGUUGGAAAAAUGAGAGCAUGUAGAGAACCAUGUUGGUGAGAAUAGAAUUGAUCAAAACUAGUCGUCCUCCAAUGGAGAGCAAUUUUCCUUUUCAACUGCUCAAUCGUUUCUCCAAUCGUUCUUCAACAUGUUUCCACUCUGCAUUAGUGAGACGCCGAUAAUGAAUCGGAAUUCCCAAAUAUUUAAUUGGGAAUUGGCCUUGUGCACAUCCAAACAAGUCAGCAUAUUGUGCAGCCGUCUCCUUGGCUUCUCCAAAACAGAACAAUUCACUUUUAUGAAAGUUGAUUUUGAAACCUGACAUUUGCUCAAAAGCUGAAAGCAGAAGUUUCAGAUUUCUCGCCUUAUCAAGGUCAUGUUCCAUGAAAAGAAUCGUAUCAUCGGCAUAUUGUAAGAUAGAGAGUCCUCCAUCAACAAGAUGUGGCACUACUCCUGCAAUCUGACCAUCCUGUUUGGCACGUUCAAUCAAAGUAGCCAGCAUGUCAGCGACAAUGUUAAAUAACAUUGGAGACAGUGAGUCACCUUGACGUAAUCCCUUUUUCGUCUGGAAGUAAUGGCCUACAUCAUCAUUGACUUUGAUAGCCACACUGCCUCCAGUAAUGAAAUUUUGGAUCCACUCACACCAUUUACCGGAGAAACCUUUUAUUCUCCGGGUCUGCUGUAGAAAUGACCAUUUGACUUUAUUAUAUGCCUUUUCAAAGUCAAUUUUCAAUACUACCCCACUCAUGUUCUUCCGGUGCAUCUCGUGAAUGGUCUCGUGAAGGAUAACUACUCCAUCGAGUAUAUUUCUUCCUUGCAUGAAAGCCGUUUGGUGAGAUCUUACAUUAAGAUUUUUCUUUCUUUCUUAUUAUACAUGUUAGUCAUUUGAUUAAGAGGGUGUUUGUUUCCAGGGACUUAUUGGUUUAGGGACUUAAAAAAGUCCCUAUAAGUCCCAUCUAAACCAAACAGGAGGGACUUAUAGAGACUUAAACUGGUGAUUUGGGACUUACUCCCUCCGAUCCCAUUUAGUCUGCGUAUAACUUUUUCCCGAAAAAUCCGGAAUGGUCUGCGCGUUCGGUUCAGCCUGUUUAGGAGGGAAGUGAAAUUGCGCUGUGUUGCGUUUAGGAGGGAACUUGAAUUGUUGGCGCUAUACAGUUUUGAUCGAAGCAAAAAUCUGUGGAAGAUCACAUCUCUUUUGAAGAGAAGAUUGCUAUCUCUACUCGAGCUGCUCAUAGGCCAGCGUCACGGCAUGCACGUCGUGUGAGAGAGAGAGAUAGACAGCCAUGCAACAUGCAGAGAGAGGAGAAUGCGGGCGGAGAGCCAAUGGGUUGCAUGGGGGCAUUUAUUGCUGCUUUGCUCCUCCGGUCCACGCGCAUGCGCAGAGGGGCAUUUCUGUCCAUAUAGCAUGCAGCGAGCCCACCUCUUGGUAUCCGGGUCUGCUCUUAGGCGCAGACAAAAAAGAAUCGGAGGGACUAUUAAAAAAGACUCUCAGGGAGGAACUUAUAGGGACUUAUAGUGGUGAUUUGGGUCUUUUAGCAUGUCAUUUAAUACAGUUUGUCUAAUUCACAUCUAGAUGUUUUUUAAGGAUGUCACAUCUAAUCUCUUAACCCUUGGAUUUAACCUGCUGUAAUUAUCGUGCAAGUUUUGAUUCGCGUCGUGCACGUCCCGCAUCGCUCGCCCGCAAGUCGCUGUCACUCGGGCCGUUGCUUUUUCUUUUGUUGGUCCGGCCUCUUGUUGCACGGGCGGCUUAAUCUUUUUUGUUUUUGUAUUUUCUGGGCUGUGUUCUUUUGUUGGUCCGGCCUUUUGUUGCACGGGCAGCCUGUUCUUUUUUGUUUUUGUAUUUUCUGGGAUGUGUUGUAACAAUUCAAAAGGCUAUCUGUUUUUAUGUGCCUAUAUAAUGUACGAUAUACAAAACUAAAAAUAUAUAAUGUACGAUAUAACACUCGUUGGUUCACAUCUCACUCUUUUUCUGCCCAGUUCAUGAUUUUUGUUAGUACGUGAAACACUUUUUGAUGUGUGCAAACAUUUAUUAAAAUUCAUGAAUUUUCUUUUUGUCAAUACUUAUUUGAAUGUGUGAUUUUAAAAUUGAAAAACAUUUUAAAAUAUAUUUGAAUAAUUUUAAAUCAGAUUUGUUAAAUCUCAUGAAGAUUUCAAAAUGUCUUAUCUAAGUUGUGGUUCAUCCGACCUAUUUAUUUUAACUUUUUACGGAAAACUCACAUCUAGAUUUAUUUAAGGAUGUCACAUCUAAAUCAGUGGUCAUUGGAUCUUUUUUUGUAAUUCUCGUGCAAAAUUUAUCCCGUAUCUUGUUCGUUGCCCCUGACGCUAGUUGCAUCGUUAGUUGUUCUUUUUUUGACCCGUUUUUUGUUUCUGACCCGUUAUGGUCAUCACGCCGGGGAACAGGCGGGCCGCUUUUUUCUGGUUGUUUUUGAAUUGCAGGGUGUGCUUCAGAUGUUCAUGUUAGAUAGAAAUUUAUUCGUGUCUGCUUCCCUUUUUUUUGUUGGUGUGUGUGUCCGCCUGCUCGAUUUCUUCCUUUUCGAGCUUAAUUUUUUUGUCUACUAUAUGUGUUGUAUCCGUUCAUUGUAGAAAUUUUAUUUGUGAGCUCUUUUUCUAGCUUCUUUUUCCUUCCAUUCCGAUUCUAUGCUUUGUGUAUAUACAUGGCGUCGAUGCAUGUUUCUCGUCCGAGUCAGGUUGUUUUACUUUUGUUUUUCCUUUCCUUUUUUCCACUCUUCCUUUUUUGCUUCAAAUUUAUGAAUUUUUAGAAUUCAAUUGUCUUAAAUUCAUGGUUUUUGUUUCCAUUUUUAUUUUUUUUCAUUUCCUUUCCUUUUUCCUUUUUCUUUUUUAACCAUCGACUCGCAACAAGGGGGGAUGUUUGUCGGGGCCCGCAAUUGCAUGUCAACCAUCGACUUUCAACUAGGGAGAGGAGUGUGUUUGUACGGGUCCCAGUUACAAGUCAACCAUCGACGUGCAACCAAGGGAAAUGAGUGUGUACGGGCCCUAGUUGCAAGUCAAUCAUCGACUCGCAACUGGUGUGGCGACGUCUGUGUGUGUUUGUGAGGGCCUAGUUGCAUGUCAACCAUCAACUUGCAACUAGGGGGCGUCUGUGUGCAUUUUGUCGGGGGCCCAAGUUGACGCGUUGCAUGUCAACCAUCGACUUGCAACUAGGGGAUUGUUUGUAGGGGCCCCAGUUGCAAGUCAACCAUUAAGUUGCAAUGAGGGAGAGGGGUGUGUUUGUACGGCCCCAUUUUGCAAGUUAGCCAUCAACUCACAACCGGGGGUGGCAUUUUUUUAGGGUCGCCAGUUACAUGUCAGCCAUUGACUCGCACCUAGGGGUUUUUUUGUAGGGCCCCGGUUUGUUUUUUUAUAGGAGGCCCAGUUGCAACUCAACCAUCGACCCGCAACUUGCAACUAGGGGGCGUGUAUUUUUAGGGGCCCAUUUGCAUGUCAACCACCACCUCGCAACCAGGGAGGGGAGUGUGUCUAUACGGGCCCUAUCUACAAGUCAACCAUCGACUCACAACUGGUUGGGAGAUGUCUGUGUAUUUGUCAGGGGCCCCAGUUGCAUGUCAACCAUCGACUACCAACUAUAAGGGGGCGGCGGCUAUGUGUGUUUGUGGGAGGCCCUAGUUGCAGUCAACCAUUGACUAUUGACUAUAGGGGGCGGCGUCUGUGUGUGUUUGUGGGAGGCCCCAGUUGCAUGUCAACCAUCGACUUGCAACUAGGGGGGUGGUUAGUAGGGCCCCCAGUUUGAAGUCAACCAUCAACUUGCAACUAGGGGAUGGGAGUGUGAUUGUACGGGCCGCAGUUGCAAGUCAACCAUCGACGCGCAACUAGGGGAGGGAGUGUGUUUGUACGGGCCCCAGUUGCAAGCCAACCAUCGACUCGCAACUAGCAUGACGACGUUUGUGUGUGUUUGUUAGGGGCCCCAGUUGCAUGUCAACCAUCGACUUGCAACUAGGGGGCGUCUAUGUGUUUGUCGAGGCCCCCAAUUGUAUGUCAAGCAUCAACUUGCAACUAUGGGGUUUGUUAGUAGGGGCAGCAGUUGCAAGUCAACCAUCAACUUGCAACUAGGGAGGGAAGUUUGUUUGUACAGGCCCCAGUUGCAAGUCAACCAUCGAUGUGCAACCAGGUGAGAGGAGUGUAUUCUGUACGGGUCACAGUUGCAAGUCAACAAUCGACUCACAACUCGGGGUGGCAUUUGUUUUUUUGUAGGGGCCCCAGUUACAUGUCAGCCAUUGACUUACAACUAGGGGUGUUUUUGUAGGGCCUCGGUUGCAAGUCAACCAUCGACAUGCAAUCCAGGGGUGUUAUUUGUUUUUUUGUAGGGGUCCUAGUUGCGAGUCAACCAUCGACCCGCAACUAGAGGGUCGUCUAUUUGUAGGGGCCCAACUGCAUGUCAACCACCGACUCGCAACUAGGGAAGGUAGUGUGUUUGUUCAGGCCAGAUUGCAAGUCAACCAUCAACUCGCAACUGGUGGGGCAUGUUCUAUGUGUGUUUGUCGGGGGGGGGGGUUGCAUGUCAACCAUUGACUAUCAACUAGGGGCGACGUCUGUGUGUUUCUCGGAGGCCCUAGUUGCAUGUCAACCAUCAACUUGCAACUAGGGGGUUUGUUUGUAGGAGCCCCAGUUGCAAGUCAACCAUCGACAUGCAACUUGGGCCCCCUACCCUUUUUGUCCCAAUUGCAACUCCACCCUCGACACACAAAUGAGAGAGUGGACAUCCCUUUAUUGUCCUAGUUGCAAGUACACUCUCGACAUGCAACUAAGAGAGGGGAUUUUUUUGUCCUAGUUACAAGUCCACCCUUGAUACGCAACUAGGCCCCCCUACCCUUUUAGUCCCGAUUGCAGCUCCACCCUCGACAUGCAACUAAGAGAGGGGACAUCCCUUUUUUGUCCUAGUUGCAAGUCCACCAUCGAUACGCAACUGGGGCCCCCAUCCUUUUGUCCCAAUUGCAGCUCCAUCCUUGACACGCAACAAAGAGAGGGGAUGUUCCUUUUUUGUCCUAGUUGCAAGUCCACGCUGGACACACAACUGGAGUCCCUACUCAUUUUGUCUGAAUUGCAGGUCCACCCUUGACACGCAACUGAGAGAGGGGGCGUUUCUUUUUUGUCCUAGUUGCAAGUACACCCUUGACACGCAACUGAGAGAGGGGACGCCCUUUUUUUGUCCUAGUUGCAAGUCCACCUCGACAUGCAACGGGGGACCCUACCCUUUUUGUCCCAAUUGCAGCACCAACUCGACAUGGAACUAAGAGAGGUGACGUCCCUUGUUUGUCCUAGUUGCAAGCACAUCCUUGACAUGCAACUGGGGGCCAUACUCUUUUGCCCCAAUUGCAGCUCCACCCUCGACACACAACUGAGAGAGGGGACGUCCCUUUUUUGUCCUAGUUACAAGUCCACCAUGGACAUGCAACUGGGCCCCCCUACCUUUUUGUCCCAAUUGCAGCUCCACCCUCGACACGCAACUGAUAGAGGGAACAUUCCUUUUUUAUCCUAGUUGCAACUACACUCUCGACACGCAACAAAGAGAGGAGGCGCCCCUUUUUUGUCCUAGUUGCAAGUCCACCCUCGACACGCAACUGCCCCCCUACCUUUUUUGUCCCAAUUGCAGCUUCACCCUUGACCCGCAGUAGAGAGAGGGGAUGUUCCUUUUUUGUCCUAGUUGCAAGUUCACCCUAGACACGCAACUAGGCCCCCUACACAUUUUGUCCGAAUUCCAGCUCCACCUUUGACACACAACUAAGAGAGGGGACGUCCCUUUUUUGUCCUAGUUGCAAGUACACCCUCGACACACAAUUGAGAGAGGGGACACCUUUUUUGCCCUAGUUGUGAGUCCACCCCGACACGCAACUGGGCCCCCUACCCUUUUUGUCCUAAUUGCAGCACCAACUCAACAUAGAACUGAGAGGGGGUGGUCCCUUGUUUGUCCUAGUUGCAAGCACAUCCUCGACAUGCAACUGGGCCCCCCUGCCCUUUUUGCUCCAAUUACAGCUCCACUCUCGACUCACAACUAAGAGAGGGGACAUCCCCUUUUUGUCCUAGUUAUAAGUCCACCAUCAACAUGCAAAUGCCCCCCUACCUUUUAUCCCAGUUGCAGCUCCACCCUCGACACGGAACUGAGAGAGAGGACGUCCUUUUUUGUCCUAGUUACAAGUUCACCCUCGACACGCAACUGGGAGCCCCUACCCUUUUUGUCCCAAUUGCAGCUGCACCCUCGACAUGCAACUGAGAGAGGGGGUGUCGCUUUUUUGUCGUGGUUGCAAGUCCAUCAUCGACAUGCAACUGGGCCCCCCUACCCUUUUUAUCCCAAUUGCCCGACCCAUUUUUGUCCCAGUUGGAAGUCCAUCCUUGACACAGAACUGGACUUAAUCUAUUUUUGUCCUGGUUGCAAGUCCACCUUCGACAUGGAACUGCAUGCCUGCAACGAGACUACAAUUAGGGGCGGGAGGAGUGUUAUCGGGCGGUUGUACCCACAUUUUAAAAAAUAUUCAUGAUUUUUAGUUUUUAUAUUAUUUGUAAAAAAAUUCAUGAAUAAAGUCAGAAAAUUGUGAUUUUUUUGAAAAUCAUAAAUUUUCCAAUUCUUGUUUUUAAUUACAUUUAUAAAAUCGUGAUUUUUUUAAUCUGAACUUUUUUAAUUUCAGGAACAUUUUUCUAUUUGAUAAACUUUUUUGAAUUCGUAAACAUUUUUUGAAUUUUCUAUGUCCUUUCUAAUUCACGAUUUAACAAAAAUUUGCAUAUUUUUAUUUCACCAACAAAAUCAAAAAUAAUAGAAAAUAUAUGUUUUGCCCUUAGUUGUAUUUGACUGAUGGACGGCAAGAAAACACAAAGUGGAAAUAAUUACAGAGUAGGCUAAGGAAAAGGCUUUGGCGAGAAUUACGGCGUGUCUAGCUGCAUCUACAUGGGGUAGUUGCUCGUUGAUUAAUAGUUGAGUGAGAGAUGUAGCGUGCUUAAUUACUAGACUAGAGGAGGUAAUUAGCUAUGUGAUGAUAGCAUGCUCGUUGAAUAUACGAGCCUAGCUGCUAGGUCUAGGAUUCUAAGCGAGCAAGUGCACGUACAUUUUCUUCUGAGGAUAACGAGUGUACAUACAUGUUUUGAAAAGAACCAUCGUGUAAUUGGGCCUCCCAGCCAGCCGUUCCGCUUGGGCCGUCCUUGUUGGAAGGAGGCCACGACCGCCCGCCCGCUUCUCCAGCGUCGGUCAACACGGUUGCGCGUGUACUGAUAUCGGAUCGAAGGAGGAAAAACAAAUAGGGAGCGUCUAGUGGGCGGCCGGCUGCCCACUAGCGCGAUGGAGCGGCCAGUCAUACAUGCGCGAGCGGCUGGCCUAAAAUAGACAUGCAUGUAUGUAAUUUUUGUCCGCUAGCACAUGUAUCUUUUAGCAUUUAAUACAUUCACACCGGUCACAGUCAGUUGGAAAAAACAGAUUACAUAUGCAUUUGUUUCGGUUUUCAAAAUUUUCAAAAAGCUAUAUCUUCCAAACCGCGCGUCGGAAUUAAGAUUCGUUUUCACCGCUGGAAUCCUCGCGACGUGCUCUUCAAAACUAUAUCCCGCAUGGGGAUGUUUCGACGAACUAGUCUUCCUGCCAACUAAACAUCAAUGUGUGUGCAACUAGACUAGAUUGCCGCGUCAACUGAGCAUAUGUGUGUGCCAAAAAAGUCCUGCCAACUAAACAUCAAUGUAUGUGCAACUAGACUAAAUUGCCACGCCAACUGAGCAUAUGUGUGUGCAACUAGUGUCCUGCCAACUAAACAUCAGUGUGUGUGCAACUAGACUAAAUUACAAGCCAACUAAGCAUAUGCGUGUGUAAUUAGUCUUCCUGCCAACUAAACAUCAAUGUGUGUGCAACUAGACUACAUUACAAGCCAACUAAAUAUCAAUGUAUGUGCAACUAGACUACAUUACAAGCCAACUAAAUAUCAAUGUGUGUGCGACUAGACUACAUUACAAGAGGAGGUUGCACAUCGACUUUCGUCGAGGCAAUAGACUAGUCGCACAUCAAAGUUGUCGUGGUUGCUAGGUUGUAACCUCAUACGAAGGCGCAGCUCCAAACAUUAGUUUUGGAAAAAAAUUGCACGAUGUAGUAAUAAAGUUGCACAAUGCAGUAAUAGAGUUGCACUAUAUAGCUCCAAAGUUGGCAUCGAAAAAAAUUCGUCAAAAUAUACCCAUGCGGGAUCUAGUUUCAAAGAUCUCACCUGUAUACAACUUUUCUGCACCCUCAUGGUCUAUGGAUGUGCAUUUUUUCACCAUUCAACAAAUUCAUGUCAGUGAGAUGUGCAACUUUAUCUGUUGCCCUGGCCAACUGCCUAGCAGAUUCUGUGCAACUACUUCUAUUGCCCCUGCCAACUACUUCCAAUGACCGUGUCCAACUGAAAACAACUAUAUGUGCAAGUAGAACUACUAUAGAUGCCAACAAAAAAUGAUCGUCGUGUGUGCACUUUCCAAUGACCGUGUCCAAUUGAAAACAACUAUGUGUGCAACUAGAACUACUAUAGAUGCCAACCAAAAAUAAUUCUUGUGUGUGCAACUUUUCAAUGAUUAUGUCCAACUGAAAACAACCAUGUGUGCAACUGGAACUACUAUAGAUGCCAACAAAAAAUGAUCACCGUGUAUGUAACUUCCGAAUGACCGUAUCUAACCGAGAACAAUUAUGUGCGUAAUAUCUAGAAGUACUGUAGAUGCCAACAAAAAAUGAUCGCUGUGUGUGCAACUUCCCAAUGAUCGUAUNNNNNNNNNNNNNNNNNNNNNNNNNNNNNNNNNNNNNNNNNNNNNNNNNNNNNNNNNNNNNNNNNNNNNNNNNNNNNNNNNNNNNNNNNNNNNNNNNNNNNNNNNNNNNNNNNNNNNNNNNNNNNNNNNNNNNNNNNNNNNNNNNNNNNNNNNNNNNNNNNNNNNNNNNNNNNNNNNNNNNNNNNNNNNNNNNNNNNNNNNNNNNNNNNNNNNNNNNNNNNNNNNNNNNNNNNNNNNNNNNNNNNNNNNNNNNNNNNNNNNNNNNNNNNNNNNNNNNNNNNNNNNNNNNNNNNNNNNNNNNNNNNNNNNNNNNNNNNNNNNNNNNNNUAUGUGCAACUUUCCAAUAAUCAUGUCCAACGAAAAACAACUAUGUGUGCAACUAAAACUACUAUAGAUGCCAACUAAAACUACCCUGUAAAUACUUGUUCUGGAUCUGCAAGUGGCGAAGGUGCCGUUUCAGGAUGCAGAGGCUUCUGAUCUGGGUACUGCAACACUUUGUAGUUGUACGCAGUCUGAGCAGAAAUGUUGGCAGAGAUUCUCUAUCUUCCCAUGCUGCGGCCUGUAAUUACUAGAUGCAGUGGACGAGGACUCCAACACGUCCCUGCAGCAACGAACCAACACAUCCAAUCUAUUCAUUCCCGGCAAGGAAACAUGAAAAAUUGAUGGAUUUGUUAGGGGCAAAUCAUCGCAUCAGGCCAGGGAAGAAGAGAGAGAAAGAGAGCAAAAGGAGUGGAUGAGGAGAAGAUACGACCUUCUUGGGGCACUAGGCAUGUCAUCGGGGCACAGAUCGAAUCAGCCGUUUGGUAAGUCACUGGGAACCACGUCGCCAAGCGAGCGGAAGCACAAG